UCCCCCUCAUCCAUGAUGCCCAGAUCGAGUCAUCUGCCGACCAUAUUCUACCCAACCUUAUCAUCCUCGCCGCUUCAGCGGACUCUCUGAAGCACCUCAAUCCCAUUCCACCCUCCUUUUUGGGAAGGGUCAUCUGGGUCCAUCGGACAUCUUGCUUCCCACUCCACAUAUAUCUGUAGGAGAUGGAUCUCAAUUCUUCAAGGGUAUCCGCCGGGAGUCUGCUCGACAUAUUCCAGAAAUUGAAUAUGCCCAUUAUACCCCGGUGAUACAGCUGAACCCUGCCCGCAUG
rnacentral:lncRNA from 1 species